rnacentral:rRNA from 1 species
UACGGAGGGUGCUAGCGUUGUUCGGAAUUACUGGGCGUAAAGCGCGUGUAGGCGGCCGAUUAAGUCUGGUGUGAAAGCCCGGGGCUCACCCCCGGAAGUGCGCUGGAAACUGGUCGGCUAGAGUAUGGGAGAGGAAAGUGGAAUUCCCGGUGUAGCGGUGAAAUGCGCAGAUAUCAGGAAGAACACCUAUGGCGAAGGCAGCUCUCUGGGACGGUACUGACGCUGAGACGCGAAAGCGUGGGGAGCGAACAGG